CGUAGGUGGCGAGCGUUGUCCGGAUUUACUGGGCGUAAAGAGCGCGCAGGCGGUCGUGCAAGUCGCGUGUGAAAGCCCCCAGCUCAACUGGGGAGGGUCACGCGAUACUGCUCGACUCGAAGGCAGGAGAGGGAAGUGGAAUUCCCGGUGUAGUGGUGAAAUGCGUAGAUAUCGGGAGGAACACCAGUGGCGAAGGCGACUUCCUGGCCUGUUCUUGACGCUGAGGCGCGAAAGCUAGGGUAGCAAACGGGAUUAGAUACCCCGGUAGUCCUAGCCGUAAACGAUGGACACUAGGUGUUGGUGGUAUCAACCCCGCCAGUGCCGAAGCUAACGCAUUAAGUGUCCCGCCUGGGGAGUACGGCCGCAAGGCUA
rnacentral:rRNA from 1 species